AACGAACGCUGGCGGCAUGCCUAACACAUGCAAGUCGAACGAAGUCUUCGGACUUAGUGGCGCACGGGUGCGUAACGCGUGGGAAUCUGCCCUUGGGUGCGGAAUAACUUCUCGAAAGGGAUGCUAAUACCGCAUAAUGUCGUAAGACCAAAGAUUUAUCGCCCAAGGAUGAGCCCGCGUAAGAUUAGCUAGUUGGUGGGGUAAAAGCCUACCAAGGCGACGAUCUUUAGCUGGUCUGAGAGGAUGAUCAGCCACACUGGGACUGAGACACGGCCCAGACUCCUACGGGAGGCAGCAGUGGGGAAUAUUGGACAAUGGGUGUAAGCCUGAUCCAGCCAUGCCGCGUGCAGGAGGAAGGCCUUCUGGGUUGUAAACUGCUUUGCCGGGGAUAAAGAUCCAUGCGUGGAGAAUUGAAGGUACCCGGUGAAUAAGCCACGGCUAACUACGUGCCAGCAGCCGCGGUAAU
rnacentral:rRNA from 1 species